UACAGAGGGUGCAAACGUUGCUCGGAAUUACUGGGCGUAAAGCGCGUGUAGGCGGUUUCGCGAGUCCGAUGUGAAAGCCCGGGGCUCAACCCCGGAAGUGCAUUGGAUACUACGAAGCUUGAGUGCUGGAGAGGAAAGCGGAAUUCCUGGUGUAGCGGUGAAAUGCGCAGAUAUCAGGAGGAACACCAAUGGCGAAGGCAGCUCGCUGGGACGUGACUGACGCUGAGACGCGAAAGCGUGGGGAGCAAACAGG
rnacentral:rRNA from 1 species